rnacentral:rRNA from 1 species
UACGAAGGGGGCUAGCGUUGCUCGGAAUUACUGGGCGUAAAGCGCACGUAGGCGGAUUGUUAAGUCGGGGGUGAAAUCCUGGAGCUCAACUCCAGAACUGCCUUCGAUACUGGCGAUCUCGAGUUCGGGAGAGGUGAGUGGAACUGCGAGUGUAGAGGUGAAAUUCGUAGAUAUUCGCAAGAACACCAGUGGCGAAGGCGGCUCACUGGCCCGAUACUGACGCUGAAACGCGAAGGCGUGGGGAGCGAACGGG